ACAUAUAAAGCAAAUUUUGCUAUUAGUUUCGACCUAAUCGAUAGAUUAUAUAUUUAAUCUAUAUGUA
rnacentral:tRNA from 1 species